rnacentral:rRNA from 1 species
UACGUAGGGGGCAAGCGUUAUCCGGAUUUACUGGGUGUAAAGGGAGCGCAGGCGGGAGAUUAAGUUAAGAGUGAAAGCCUUGGGCUCAACCCAAGAAAUGCUCUUAAUACUGGUUUUCUAGAGUGUGGGAGAGGUAAGUGGAAUUCCUAGUGUAGCGGUAGAAUGCGUAGAUAUUAGGAGGAACACCAGUGGCGGAGGCGGCUUACUGGACGGUAACUGACGCUGAGGCUCGAAAGCGUGGGGAGCAAACAGG